GGGUCGUUGGCAGAGCGGUAAUGCAGCAGCCUGUAAAGCUGUGGCUUCGGCAUCGGUGGUUCGAUCCCAUCACGGCCCA
rnacentral:tRNA from 1 species